rnacentral:rRNA from 1 species
AUUGAACGCUGGCAGCAGGCCUAACACAUGCAAGUCGAGCGGAUGAAGGGAGCUUGCUCCUGGAUUCGGCGGCGGACGGGUGAGUAAUGCCUAGGAAUCUGCCUGGUAGUGGGGGAUAACGUCCGGAAACGGGCGCUAAUACCGCAUACGUCCUGAGGGAGAAAGUGGGGGAUCUUCGGACCUCACGCUAUCAGAUGAGCCUAGGUCGGAUUAGCUAGUUGGUGGGGUAAAGGCCUACCAAGGCGACGAUCCGUAACUGGUCUGAGAGGAUGAUCAGUCACACUGGAACUGAGACACGGUCCAGACUCCUACGGGAGGCAGCAGUGGGGAAUAUUGGACAAUGGGCGAAAGCCUGAUCCAGCCAUGCCGCGUGUGUGAAGAAGGUCUUCGGAUUGUAAAGCACUUUAAGUUGGGAGGAAGGGCAGUAAGUUAAUACCUUGCUGUUUUGACGUUACCAACAGAAUAAGCACCGGCUAACUUCGUG